AAAUUUGGUGAUUUACAAUAACUUAGCAAAUCGCAUAGUGAAAACUGGCGAUAAAUCAUUCAAGUUUCUGACCUAUCAGCUUUCGACGGUAUGGUAUUGGCUUACCGUGGCAGUGACGGUUAACGGGGGAUUAGGGUUCGAUUCCGGAGAGGGAGCCUGAGAAACGGCUACCACAUCUAAGGAAGGCAGCAGGCGCGCAAAUUACCCAAUUCUAACAGCAUGAGAGAGGUAGUGACAAGAAAUAACAAUACAAGGCAGUUAAAAUGCUUUGUAAUUGGAAUGAUAGAAAUUUAAACACUUUUUAAAGUAUCAAUUGGAGGGCAAGUCUGGUGCCAGCAGCCGCGGUAAUUCCAGCUCCAAUAGCGUAUAUUAAAAUUGUUGCAGUUAAAAAGCUCGUAGUUGAAUUUCUGUUAAAAAUAACCGGUCUGCUUUUAAUAAAAGUGGUAUCUUGGUGUGUUUUUAGCAAUAAUGUCCUUUGAAAUGUUUUUUACUUUAUUGUAAUAGAUUAUAUUCAGGAUUUUUACUUUGAGAAAAUUAGAGUGUUUCUAGCAGGCUAACGCUUUGAAUACU
rnacentral:rRNA from 1 species